rnacentral:rRNA from 1 species
AAUGAACGCUGGCGGCGCGCCUAAUACAUGCAAGUCGAGCGAGAAGACGUAGCAAUACGUUUGUAAAGCGGCGAACGGGUGAGGAAUACAUGGGUAACCUACCCUUGAGUGGGGAAUAACUAGCCGAAAGGUUAGCUAAUACCGCGUACGCUUCCUGGACUUCGGUUCAGGGAGGAAAGCGAUGCCGAGGGUAUCGCGCUCUUGGAUGGGCUCAUGUCCUAUCAGCUUGUUGGNGAGGUAACGGCUCACCAAGGCUUCGACGGGUAGCUGGUCUGAGAGGACGAUCAGCCACACUGGCACUGCGACACGGGCCAGACCCCUACC